GUUUAUAUUCAUUUCGUGAGUUUGUUCUUGUAUUUUGGAAUUAUUCUGAGCCAAAAUUAAUAGAAAUGAUUGUAAAUAUAUUGUGCGCGGUUGCAAAAGUGAGUGGCAGCCAGGAUGUGAUAUUAUAUUUCAUUCGUUUCCGUCCAAUCUAGCGGAACGUAAUACAUGGCUAAAUAGCUAAAUAAUAAAUAUAGUAGAAUUAAAAAUAUCCUGUUUUGAAAAAGCGAAGAUAUUAUGCAACAUUCAUUUUAAACCCGCACUUGGACAGUGCGGUGGAUGUGGCCUGUAACCUCAUAGGAGGCCAUGUCCCAGCAGUGGGAACGUAAUAUAUACGUUACGGGAAAUAAAAUGUAUGGGAGGGUUUAAAGUUACAUUUUUAGAUAUUUCUCGUUAUAUUAAAAAAAGUUAUUAUUGUUAUUUUACUCAUUACGUAAAGUUUCAUAUCAAUGCACUUAACGAUUACACCCUGAAUAUAUUAUAUAUUUUGUUUUUUAUUGUAUGAUAGGGAAGCGCAAGACCACGAUCUCAUAUUUCAAGUACUCUUAAAAAACUAUUUAAAUACUAAAGGGUAUGGAAUAAUAAAAAUAUUUUCAGUGAACCGAUUUCGUUAUUUUUUUAUUGUUAUUGUAUCUUAUAAUUUGCAAAUUUGUAAAGGCAGUUGGCAUUGUAAUGAUAAAUAAAUAUUAUUAAAACACA